rnacentral:rRNA from 1 species
AUUGAACGCUGGCGGCAGGCCUAACACAUGCAAGCCGGGCGAGCGGCGGACGGGUGAGUAAUGUAUGGGGACCUGCCUGAUGGAGGGGGAUAACUACUGGAAACGGUAGCUAAUACCGCAUACCAUCAGAUGACCCCAUAUGGGAUUAGCUUGUAGGUAAGGUAACGGCUUACCUGGGCGACGAUCCCUAGCUGGUUUGAGAGGAUGACCAGCCACACGAGGACUGAGACACGGCCCAGACUCCUACGGGAGGCAGCAGUGGGGAAUAUUGCACAAUGGGCGCAAGCCUGAUGCAGCCAUGCCGCGUGUAUGAAGAAGGCCUUAGGGUUGUAAAGUACUUUCAGUCGGGAGGCGUUACCGGCAGAAGAAGCACCGGCUAACUCCGUGCCAGCAGCCGCGGUAAUAC